rnacentral:rRNA from 1 species
GAUCGGCCACACUGGGACUGAGACACGGCCCAGACUCCUACGGGAGGCAGCAGUAGGGAAUCUUCGGCAAUGGGGGCAACCCUGACCGAGCAACGCCGCGUGAGUGAAGAAGGUUUUCGGAUCGUAAAGCUCUGUUGUAAGAGAAGAACGAGUGUGAGAGUGGAAAGUUCACACUGUGACGGUAACUUACCAGAAAGGGACGGCUAACUACGUGCCAGCAGCCGCGGU